ensembl:lncRNA
GUCAAAGCGGACACCUACGAAGAAGGUCUGUGGCAUCUCAGGAACUGAGGAGCUGUUUCUGCAAGGACAGGUCGUACUUCUGGACGGUGAUCGCGACUCCGACUGGGAUCCCCCGGUGCCAAGCUGCCCGCUCUACCUCUGCCCCCAGUGGUGUUCAUAUGCCACGGUUCAUUACUGCAGGCAUGACUGUGCCUCAGGGCCAAAAGGGCACAGCAUGGAGGCAACGUUGUGCUCUGUGUCGCAUGAACUGCACCACUUGUUCAGUUUGCCUCUGCUUUACAUCAGAAAGAGACUGUUAUGGGACAUGGCACAGGCAGCAAAAUAUUGUGUAGAGGACUUCCAAAGGGUUGCCCUCUUGUGUUAUCCAUCAAAAUUAUCUCCAGCAUCCUAUCUGACUGUGUGGCUAUUCUAGUACAUGUGAAAGAUGAUGCUACAACAAUAAAAACAGAAAACGUGUGCUCUUUCUUUCUCUUUUCUUCCACCAGAUCUACUGUGUUAUAUUAUCCUACAUUCAAUUAACAUUUCCACAAACCUCAGAAUGUUUCCAUUCAAAUGAUAC